CUGGCUCAGAUUGAACGCUGGCGGCGUGCUUAACACAUGCAAGUCGCGCGUGAAAGGACUUCGGUCCGAGUAAAGCGGCGCACGGGUGAGUAACGCGUGGAUGAUCUACCCAUGAGUUAGGAAUAACGGCUGGAAACGGUCGCUAAUACCAAAUACGCUCCGAUUUCAACUUCGGGGGAAAGGUGGCCUCUGCUUGCAAGCUACUGCUCAUGGAUGAGUCCGCGUCCCAUUAGCUAGUUGGUGGGGUAACGGCCCACCAAGGCGACGAUGGGUAGCCGGUCUGAGAGGAUGACCGGCCACACUGGGACUGGAACACGGCCCAGACUCCUACGGGAGGCAGCAGUGGGGAAUAUUGCGCAAUGGGCGAAAGCCUGACGCAGCGACGCCGCGUGAGGGAUGAAAGGUCCUCGGAUCGUAAACCUCUGUCAGGAGGGAAGAACCGCCACGGUGCUAAUCAGCCGUGGUCUGACGGUACCUCCAAAGGAAGCACCGGCUAACUCCGUGCCAGCAGCAGC
rnacentral:rRNA from 1 species